rnacentral:rRNA from 1 species
UACGUAGGGGGCUAGCGUUGUCCGGAAUCAUUGGGCGUAAAGAGCGUGUAGGCGGCCCGGUAAGUCCGCUGUGAAAGUCGGGGGCUCAACCCUCGAAUGCCGGUGGAUACUGUCGGGCUAGAGUGCGGAAGAGGCGAGUGGAAUUCCUGGUGUAGCGGUGGAAUGCGCAGAUAUCAGGAGGAACACCUAUAGCGAAGGCAGCUUGCUGGGACGUUACUGACGCUAAGGCGCGAAAGCGUGGGGAGCGAACAGG